rnacentral:tRNA from 4 species
GUCCGGGUGGUGGAAUUGGUAGACACGCUACUUUGAGGGGGUAGUGGCCGUUGGGCUGUGUGAGUUCGAAUCUCAUCUCGGACA